rnacentral:rRNA from 1 species
AGCAGCCGCGGUAAUUCCAGCUCCAAUAGCGUAUAUUAAAGUUGUUGCAGUUAAAAAGCUCGUAGUUGAAUUUCGGGAUCAAUUCGUCGGUCGUGCUUUUUGGUACGUACUGGCGUUAUUGGUUUCUCCUUUCUGACGAGCCAUGAUGUCAUUAAUUUGGUGUUAUGGGGAGUUAGGACUGUUACUUUGAAAAAAUUAGAGUGUUUAAAGCAGGCAUUAGCUUGAAUACAUUAGCAUGGAAUAAUGAAAUAGGACGUUCGAUCCUAUUUUGUUGGUUUCUAGGAUCAACGUAAUGAUUAAUAGGGAUAGUUGGGGGCAUUAGUAUUCAAUUGUCAGAGGUGAAAUUCUUGGAUUUAUUGAAGACUAACUACUGCGAAAGCAUUUGCCAAGGAUGUUUUCAUUAAUCAAGAACGAAAGUUAGGGGAUCGAAGACGAUCAGAUACCGUCGUA